UUUUACAAUUCGAAAAAAAAAAAAUCGUAACGGAACUUAAACUCCUUCGGUCGCUAUAAAUCAUCAGUAUUAAACCUCAAAGUGAUAGAUUACCACCGUGACGCUUUAAGCUAAAAACAAUAGCCAUUUCCAAUCUACACAAUAGCAUAUUAACGUAUUGCAACUAAUUAACAAUCAGCCAAUCUGUUAUCAGUAAGAAUGCACCUUAUAUAAGAGUUAGUAACAGUUGUCACGGCUAUUCCAAUAUUGAACGUCGUGUGGUUAACUUCUAGUGCUUUUUAUUAAACAUCAUGCGUUUAGUUAUUUGUUUAGCGUUAUUUGUAACGGCAUGUAUUUGUAUGUCGGCGAAGCCUUUUUAUGACGUGAACGAUGCUCCGGCACUCUUUGAAAAGUUUAUAAGAGAUUACCAGAGACAUUACAAGAAUGAGGAAGAUAGACGAAUACAUUAUGAUGCAUUUGUGCACUCGUUGAAUGAAAUAAAUAGACUGAAUUCGGCGAACGAGUAUGCUACGUUUGAUAUUAACAAUUUUGCGGACUUUACGGAGGAAGAAAAAAAGAAACACCGUGGCCUUCUACCUUCGUAGGAUCGCCUGCUAUUUACCGACUGAAAGAAACAAAGGCAAACCAACUACCAACCAACCAAUCAAUUGCUCAUCUGGAAAAUUGUAUACCAAUUUAUUGUUAAUCCAAUAUAAAUAUACAUAAUUUAUAUAACUAACGAAAACUACA